GGCAGGGCUCCCCCGCCCAGACAGCACAGGCAAGAUGAGACAACACAGAGAGAGAGAGGGAGAGGAAAGGCUGAGAGGGAGAGGGAGCCUGGGAGCGAGCGAGCGGGGAAAGCAACAACUGCAGAGAAAGUGAGCACAAAACAGAAAGUGAAAUCACCCCGGGCUGCCAGCCGCAUCCCCGAGAAGCUAUCACCACUCACAUUGCUAUUAGACAAAUGAAACCUUAAACCUCUCUCCUCUAAUGACCACUGAUUGCCCGGAGUGGUGAGGAAAGGAAAACAGAAGAAAGCUAAUAAACACAUCCUCGAAGGUAGCAUCCUCCUUCGCACAACUUCUUAAGUACGAGGCGGCGAUGGGACAAGAGAUAAGGAAGGCGUCAGAACGAUUUAGCCGCCCACCCAGAUCCGAAGCAGAGAAGCAUCCCUCCGCGCUCCCGAAAUCCCCUCGCAGGGGCUGCCACUCGGCUGGGGCAGGGCACCGCAGGGAUGCGCCCGCGUCCCCAGGCGGAGCGCGAGUAACACUCUCUAGCUUGUUGCUUCCCCGUGUGAUCAAUUAAGUUACAGAUGCAGCACACAAUGCCGCAGUUACAACUUCUCCGCGGUAGAAAACGAGGACUCCGUGGGCAUUGUAUGCAAAUGUACGUGUAUGUGCUCUGCACAGGAAUAAUUGCGCUUCCCUCUUUGUUUGCAUAAGUGAACAUCCGCCGUACGCACGUGCAGAGAAACAAGCAAACGCGUUUACUUUUAGCGUUACUACGCGUUUAGAGACCACAUUUUACAUUUCUUCUCUCGCUUUUCUUCAUUAAGGCUAGAGACGGGCACAGCAGCCAGCGCAGGCAGAUGUUGGGGAGGGAUGCUGGGCUGCUCUGCGUCCUCGCAGAGGAAAGGAAUCAGCCUGUCGGUUCACGUCGGGGCACUUACCUGCUCACAGCUGGCAGCGCAUUCUGCGCCGUCUCUUUCAUUAAACACAUGCAUAGAAGUAAAGCAACGUUCGACAAGCAAA